rnacentral:rRNA from 1 species
GACGAACGCUGGCGGCGUGCCUAAUACAUGCAAGUUGAGCGAUGAAGAUUGGUGCUUGCACCAAUUUGAAGAGCAGCGAACGGGUGAGUAACGCGUGGGGAAUCUGCCUUUGAGCGGGGGACAACAUUUGGAAACGAAUGCUAAUACCGCAUAACAACUUUAAACAUAAGUUUUAAGUUUGAAAGAUGCAAUUGCAUCACUCAAAGAUGAUCCCGCGUUGUAUUAGCUAGUUGGUGAGGUAAAGGCUCACCAAGGCGAUGAUACAUGGCCGACCUGAGAGGGUGAUCGGCCACAUUGGGACUGAGACACGGCCCAAACUCCUACGGGAGGCAGCAGUAGGGAAUCUUCGGCAAUGGACGAAAGUCUGACCGAGCAACGCCGCGGGAGUGAAGAAGGUUUUCGGAUCGUAAAACUCUGUUGGUAGAGAAGAACGUUGGUGAGAGUGGAAAGCUCAUCAAGUGACGGUAACUACCCAGAAAGGGACGGCUAACUACGUG